rnacentral:rRNA from 1 species
UGGGGAAUAUUGGACAAUGGGGGCAACCCUGAUCCAGCAAUGCCGCGUGUGUGAAGAAGGCCUGCGGGUUGUAAAGCACUUUUGGCAGGGAUGAAAAGCACUGGAUUAAUAACCCAGUGUGUUGACCUAACCUGCAGAAGAAGCACCGGCUAACUCUGUGCCAGCAGCCGCGGUAAUACAGGGGGUGCGAGCGUUAAUCGGAAUUAUUGGGCGUAAAGGGUGCGUAGGUUGUUUGAUAAGAUAUAUGUGAAAUACCUGGGCUCAACCUGGGAAGGUCAUAUAAGACUGUCAGACUCGAGUAUGGGAGAGGGUAGAGGAAUUUCCGGUGUAGCAGUGAAAUGCGUAGAUAUGUGGAGGAAUACCGAUGGCGAAGGCAGCCCCCUGGGAUAACACUGACGCUCAUGCACGAAAGCG